rnacentral:rRNA from 1 species
UCGUCAGCUUUGUGUGGAUGUUGGGUUAAGUAGGCAAGAGCGCAACCCUGCCGUUAGUUGCCAUCAUUAAGUGGGCAUUUAGAGGGACGCCAGGGAUACCUGGAGGAAGGUGGGGAGACGUCAAAAUUCAUGCCCCUUAGAUUAGGGCUACACACGUGCUACAAUGGAUGGUACAGAGGGCAGCCAAGUCGUGAGGUGGAGCUAACCCUUAAAGCCAUUCUCAGUUCGGAUGUAGGCUGAAACUCGCGUACAUGAAGCUGGAGUUACUAGUAAUCGAAGAUCAGAAUGCUGCAGUGAAGGCGUUCCCGGGUCUUGUACACACCGCCCGUCACACCAUGGGAGUUGGGGGCGCCCGAAGCCGGGUAGCUAACCUUUUGGAAGCGGCCGUCGAAGGAAAACCAAUAACUGGGGUGAAGUCGUAACAAGGUAGCCGUA